rnacentral:rRNA from 1 species
UACGUAGGGUGCGAGCGUUGUCCGGAAUUAUUGGGCGUAAAGGGCUCGUAGGCGGUUUGUCGCGUCGGGAGUGAAAUCCACUGGCUUAACUGGUGGCUUGCUUUCGAUACGGGCAGACUGGAGGUAUGCAGGGGGAGAACGGAAUUCCUGGUGUAGCGGUGAAAUGCGCAGAUAUCAGGAGGAACACCGGGUGGCGAAGGCGGUUCUCUGGGCAUGUCCUGACGUGAGGAGCGAAAGUGUGGGGAGCGAACAGG